ensembl:misc_RNA Metazoa_SRP Metazoan signal recognition particle RNA
GCUGGGCAUGGUGGCGUACGCCUGUAGUCCCAGCUACUUGGGAGGCUGAGGUGGGAGAAUCCCUUGAGCCCAGGAGUUCAAGGCUGCUGUGAGCCAUGAUUGUGCCACUGCACUCCAGCCUGGGCAACAGAGUGAGACCCUGUCUCAA